rnacentral:tRNA from 2 species
GAGCACGUUAGGUUUUCGUCCUGGGGGAGUACAGUUGGUGUACCGGGAAUU